CUAUGUGGUUAAAUAGCUGAAAGGCAUCAACUCCCCUUUGAUCUUGGAAGCUAAGCAGCCUCAGCCCUGUAAAGUACUCGGGUGGGAGAUCUCCAAAAAAAUACAAGGUGCUCUAGACC
rnacentral:rRNA from 11 species